UAUUAAUAUCAAUUGAAUUUAUUACAAGUUACUAAGCUCCAAGGCACAUUACAGUGUUCUGUUAACUACAGAAAUGUAUAAAGGACAAACAGAGCAUGUUUUCCAUGUACAGCAUUUUGCUCUACUGCUCAAAAGCAUCCGUGCAUCAAUAAAGCAAAAACAAAAACACAUGAAGAUUAAAAACGUUCAGAUCAAUAGAAACAAACUGAAACAGUUUUUUCCCCUUACAAACUUGCAACGAAAAACACCCACCCCCCAGCCCCACCCCCAGACUCCCCCUCCCUCACUGUUUUGCAAACAAAACAAAACAAAACAAAAUUAAGUGAAGACUAAACACUCAGGGCUUGGUUAUAUUCACAAUUCUACAUCUUCGUGGUGGGGGAGGAAGGGCUGUGGACUAGGAGGGGGUGGGAGGGAUCUGGCUUGGAGGAGAGGGGUGGGGGGAGAGGACGAGGCCAAGUAGGGAUUUUGCUGGAUUUUAAGAGUCUCUCUCUUUUUUCACCUUAACGUCCCCAGCUAAGAUAGUCGCGAUUUCCCCCUGCAUGAAAGCCCAAGGUACGUUAGAACCGACUAAGGGGCAUUUCUCGCCACUGGGGCAGUAUACCUCGCCGGUAGCGCCCUGGGCCUUGAUGCUUUCCCUAGAACAGGGGAAGCAGAACUUGUGGCUGGGCACGGAAGGGCACUGAACAAAAUGUGUGUCCUCCAAACGUUCGUGGCAAAUGGUACAGCAGAGGGGGCCGCUGUUGGCCAUGGGGGAAUCAGGAAUGUUUUGGGGGUGAACUUGGUCCAUGCCCGGGUGGGCACUAGGAGGUGGGGGUGCCACUUGUAAGUUUAUAUCCCCAUUGCGAGAUGCCAAGCGGCGCUGGGCUGGCACUGAGGCCGGUGACACGGGGCUGCUGCUGUUCCUUCGAGUGGCCGUAGUGGAAUGCACUGAGCUGCCGUCCUUGGGCGAGUGAGCAUUACCCAGCGUGUCAGCCACAGACAUGAGGGCCGCCAUGGGGGACUGGCCGUUCUGGGGGGCUGAUUCGGGUGGGGUGGUCCGGUUAGAGAGGGGCCCCAGGGGCGGGGGCGGGGGCGGAGGAGGGCCCCCAGCUCCGUGCACUGCCCCGAACCCCCCGGCAGACAUGGUGAGCUUGAGGGCCUCGCUUUGGGUGGCCAUCCACUGCUGGCGCUGCUGCUCCUCGCUCAGCUUCAGCGCCCCCUCGGCCGAGUCCGGCGGCUCCGGGGACGCUUUCCUCUUACGCAAUCCAGACGCUCCCCCACGGCUGGAGGCGCUGGCGGGAGGGAGUACCCCAACGACUCCCCCAGCCCCGCCAGCGCCUCGAGGAUGGGUGACCAGGGCGGUGGGCAGCAUGGGACAGUUGGCAUCCAGGUACUUGAAGCCUGAAGACAGGCCGCGGCCGAAGUCUUUCAUGCAGUCCUGAUACAUCUGCUUGGCCACCCCGGAUGCGCUGGAGAACACAUUGCCCGAGCCUGUAGGGUAUUCGAUAAAGAGUUUGAGUUCAUAGUCCAGACCCGGCUUGGAGACCGCAUCGAAAGCAAAGACGCGGCCCAGCAGAGAGUGGUCUUUCUUGAAGCGGACCUCAUAAGGGGUGCAGCCUGCCAAAGUGAGCAGGGUCUCCCGUACCAUCUUGGGCUUGCUGGCCCAAUCUUCUGCCCGGUUUCGGAGACUCUCGCUCAGUUCUGCCAGGGCCUCUGCGUUGCGCUGCUUCUCCUUUAAUUCUCGUUCCUGGUCGGUACUGGACACCGAACCCGGCCGCUUGCCCCCACCGCAGGCCUCUGAGGAUGAAGAAGAGGUUGAGGAUGACGAAGAUGAGGAAGAGGACGCGGAGCCAGCAGCCAAGGUGGUCCCCCCUAGGCAGGAGGGACCCCCGCCUCCGCCCACGUUGGAGCCCUGCGGGGGAGGGCGGCUGCCUAGCCCGUGGGGAGGUGGAGGGGGCAACACGGCUGCUCCCGGCCCAUUGAGCAGCGUUUGAGGGAGCAGGUUGGGGGGCACAUUCAGAGGACCCCCGCCACCUCCGCCACUCCCACUCGCAGGGGGUAGCCCUGUCACCAGCCCCCCGUGAGCCCCGCGACGGGAAGAUGAGGAGUUGGGGCUUUGGCGGUUCAGUUCCGGGGGCCCAUCCUCCGGGGACUGUUUGGGGAAGCCAUUGGGGCCGCCCAACCCGUUGGGUAGCCGGGCUGCAUGGCCGCCGCCCCCGCUGCCCCCCAGGCUUCCCGGGGGCGGGGGGUACUCAAAGCGGCUUCGCUGUUCAACCGCGGCUGCAGCGGCAGCGGCGGC
ensembl:lncRNA